rnacentral:rRNA from 1 species
UACGAAGGGGGCUAGCGUUGUUCGGAAUCACUGGGCGUAAAGGGCGCGUAGGUGGCUUCUCAAGCGUGCGGUGAAAGCCUGGGGCUCAACCCCGGGUCGGCCGUGCGAACUGGGGGGCUGGAGCACUGUAGAGGCAGGCGGAAUUCCGGGUGUAGCGGUGGAAUGCGUAGAGAUCCGGAAGAACACCGGUGGCGAAGGCGGCCUGCUGGGCAGUUGCUGACACUGAGGCGCGACAGCGUGGGGAGCAAACAGG